CUCCACAGAGAAGAUUAGCAUGGCCCCUGCACUAAGGAUGACACGCUCAAUCAAAGAGAAGCUAAACAUUUUU
rnacentral:snRNA from 1 species